rnacentral:rRNA from 1 species
UGCUUAAUACAUGCAAGUCGAACGGUAACAGGCCCUUCGGGGCGCUGACGAGUGGCGGACGGGUGAGUAAUGCUUAGGAAUCUGCCUAGUAGUGGGGGAUAACCCGGGGAAACUCGGGCUAAUACCGCAUACGCCCUACGGGGGAAAGCGGGGGACUUUCGGGCCUCGCGCUAUUAGAUGAGCCUAAGUCCGAUUAGCUAGUUGGUAGGGUAAUGGCCUACCAAGGCGACGAUCGGUAGCUGGUCUGAGAGGACGACCAGCCACACUGGGACUGAGACACGGCCCAGACUCCUACGGGAGGCAGCAGUGGGGAAUAUUGGACAAUGGGCGCAAGCCUGAUCCAGCGAUGCCGCGUGUGUGAAGAAGGCCUGCGGGUUGUAAAGCACUUUCAGUAGGGAAGAAAAGCCGAGCGCUAAUAUCACCCGGUCUUGACGUUACUUACAGAAGAAGCACCGGCUAACUACGUGCCAGCAGCCGCGGUAAUACGUAGGGUGCGAGCGUUAAUCGGAAUUACUGGGCGUAAAGCGUGCGCAGGCGGUGGCACAAGUCAGGUGUGAAAUCCCCGAGCUUAACUUGGGAAUUGCAUUUGAAACUAGGUCGCUAGAGUUUGGAAGAGGGGGGUAGAAUUCCACGUGUAGCAGUGAAAUGCGUAGAGAUGUGGAGGAAUACCGAUGGCGAAGGCAGCCCCCUGGGCUAAAACUGACGCUCAUGCACGAAAGCGUGGGGAGCAAACAGGAUUAGAUACCCUGGUAGUCCACGCCCUAAACGAUGCCAACUAGUUGUCGGGAGAGCAAUCUCUUGGUAACGCAGCUAACGCGUGAAGUUGGCCGCCUGGGGAGUACGGUCGCAAGAUUAAAACUCAAAGGAAUUGACGGGGACCCGCACAAGCGGUGGAUUAUGUGGAUUAAUUCGAUGCAACGCGAAAAACCUUACCUACCCUUGACAUGUACCGAACCCCGACGAGAGUUGGGGGUGCCCGAAAGGGAGCGGUAACACAGGUGCUGCAUGGCUGUCGUCAGCUCGUGUCGUGAGAUGUUGGGUUAAGUCCCGCAACGAGCGCAACCCUUGUCAUUAGUUGCUACAUUCAGUUGGGCACUCUAAUGAGACUGCCGGUGACAAACCGGGGGAAGGUGGGGAUGACGUCAAGUCCUCAUGGCCUUUAUGGGUAGGGCCUCACACGUAAUACAAUGGCCGGUACAGAGGGUUGCCAACUCGCAAGAGGGAGCCAAUCUCAGAAAGCCGGUCGUAGUCCGGAUUGUUCUCUGCAACUCGAGAGCAUGAAGUCGGAAUCGCUAGUAAUCGCGGAUCAGCAUGUCGCGGUGAAUACGUUCCCGGGUCUUGCACACACCGCCCGUCAC